rnacentral:tRNA from 1 species
GCCGGCGUGGUGAAAUGGCAGACACGGUAGACUCAAAAUCUACUGGCCGCAAGGUCGUAUCGGUUCAAGUCCGAUCGCCGGUA